rnacentral:rRNA from 1 species
AUUGAACGCUGGCGGAAUGCUUUACACAUGCAAGUCGAACGGUAGAGGGGGCAACCCCUUGAGAGUGGCGAACGGGUGAGUAAUAUAUCGGAACGUGCCCAGUCGUGGGGGAUAACGUAGCGAAAGUUACGCUAAUACCGCAUACGAUCUAAGGAUGAAAGCGGGGGGUCGCAAGACCUCGCGCGAUUGGAGCGGCCGAUACCAGAUUAGGUAGUUGGUGGGGUAAAAGCCUACCAAGCCGACGAUCUGUAGCUGGUCUGAGAGGACGACCAGCCACACUGGGACUGAGACACGGCCCAGACUCCUACGGGAGGCAGCAGUGGGGAAUUUUGGACAAUGGGCGCAAGCCUGAUCCAGCCAUGCCGCGUGCGGGAAGAAGGCC